AUUGACCGCUGGCGGCAGGCCUAACACAUGCAAGUCGCGCGAGCGGCGGACGGGUGAGUAAUGUCUGGGAAACUGCCUGAUGGAGGGGGAUAACUUCUGGAAACGGUAGCUAAUACCGCAUUCCAUCAGAUGUGCCCAGAUGGGAUUAGCGAGUUGGUGGGGUAAGGGCUCACCUGGGCGACGAUGCCUAGCUGGUCUGAGAGGAUGACGAGCCACACUGGAACUGAGGCCCGGUCCAGACGCCUAGGUGGGGCAGGAGUGGGGAACAGUGCAGAGUGGGCGCAAGCCUGAUGCAGCCAUGCCGCUUGUUUUAAGAUUGCCUGUGGGUUGAAAAGUACUUUAAGCGGGGAGGCGUUUCCCGCAGAGGAAGCGCCGGCUAACACCGUGUCAGCAGCCGCGGUAAUAC
rnacentral:rRNA from 1 species